rnacentral:rRNA from 1 species
GACGGAGGGCGCAAGCGUUGUUCGGAAUUACUGGGCGUAAAGCGCGCGCAGGCGGGAAGGUAAGUCUGGAGUGAAAUUCCGGGGCUCAACUCCGGAGCUGCUUUGGAUACUGUCUUUCUAGGGACCGGUAGAGGCCGGUGGAAUUCCCGGUGUAGCGGUGGAAUGCGUAGAGAUCGGGAAGAACACCCGUGGCGAAGGCGGCCGGCUGGGCCGGUACUGACGCUGAGACGCGAAAGCGUGGGGAGCGAACAGG